AUUGAACGCUGGCGGCAUGCCUUACACAUGCAAGUCGAACGGUAACGGCCUUCGGUGCCGACGAGUGGCGAACGGUGAGUAAUGCAUCGGAACGUACCUUUCAGUGGGGAUAACGUAGCGAAAGUUACGCUAAUACCGCAUAUUCUGUGAGCAGGAAAGCAGGGGAUCGCAAGACCUUGCGCUGGAAUUGACGCGGCCGAUGUCCAGAUUAGCUAGUUGGUGAGGUAAAGGCUCACCAAGGCGACGAUCUGUAGCGGGUCUGAGAGGAUGAUCCGCCACACUGGAACUGAGACACGGUCCA
rnacentral:rRNA from 1 species